GCGGGUGUAGCUCAAUGGUAGAGCGUCGGCUUCCCAAGCCGAACACGGGGGUUCGAUUCCCCUCACCCGUUCCA
rnacentral:tRNA from 1 species